rnacentral:snoRNA from 1 species
GACGAUGACGAAUCAAUCUCAUUCCAACGCUUGAUCAGAUCAAUUAUGAUCGAUACAAAGAGACGCUGCGUUCUUUCUGAGUC